UAGGUAUUGUAACCACCCAGAUAGAGAACUUUGUUUUCCUGGCCCAAGGUCAGAUACUUUUUGGACAGAGUAGUAUGUGUGCAAGCAUCAAGAAGUUGCAAGAUUUCUCUACUUUUGAAAUUUUCCAAAAUUUAAAGUUAUUUAAAAUUCUCUUGUCAAUGAAUGUAAAAUUCUAUAUUGUUUUUGUAGUUUUGUCUCUCACUGUACGCUGUCCUUUGCCUGGGGUUUGCUGUUAUGCUAUCUGGAAGUAAAUUACCAUGUAUAUUUACUAGGUUUCAAAGUUGUAUUAAAUUCUGAAUUCAAACAUUUCUUCAAAAAAAUAUCAUAUCUAUUGCUUGGAUAUUGCUUCGUUUCUAUUUAAGUGUUCAAUUUUGGUGUUAUAUGUCAGUGUUGGUUUGAAGUGUGUUUUAUAAUUUUUUUCUGUUUUGGGUUCUUUCUACUCCAUAGUUGGAGCUGGGAUAGCUCAGUUGGCAUAGUGGCAGACUAUGAGCUGGAUGGCUGGGAUUUGGUUACUAGCAUGGCAAACAGAUAUUUCUCUGCUCCACAUCAUCCAGACUGGCUCAGGGGUCCACCCAGCUGCCCCUACAUCUGGGUAUUCUCCCAAUUGCAUCUUAUGUGCCAUUGCCAUUUGACAUCAUAAGUGAGUAUUGCCUUUGUUAUUCCUGGAGUUUGCCACUUAUAAGAGCUGCAAGACAUACACGAGUGGAAGAUAGCUAGACUUCAAACACUAAAGUUUGUACUUUGUACUUGUUGUCCCUGUUGUAUGUUUCAGUGACAGAGUUUGAUGUAUAGAAUCAAUUCUAACUAUAACACAGCUGGUCAGUAAAUUUCAUUUAACCUGCCAAGCUAUCCAUUUCAAUCAGCCUGAUUCCAUUUGGGAUACAAUGUAACGCAAUAUCGUCAGGUGUGCGGUAGGUGAGCUGAUACACUGAAACACUGACCACUGGAGAGGAGGUAGCCAGUGAGGGGCUGCAACCAAAGGUGCAUGACAAAAGCAGUAGGCAACCACAGAAGGGGUAAACUGCUGCUGCAGGAGACAGGAUAAGCAGCUGUCUACAAAACUUGAAACCAGGUGAGGAGAGAUAUGGACCGCAAGGUGUUAAGGAAAUUUAAUUUUAUUUGAGGCACCAACCAGUCACAAGGAGCACCUUAAAAAGGUAUACGGAGAGAACCACUGCCAGCUACAGGUCUGAGUCAACAACCCCUGCAGGAAGGGGGUACAAGAAGCAGAGCACCGUCAGAGCAAACACAGAGAUCGAGGAGUGGGUUACUGGAGAAAUAUUUUCCUCAGUGAGUCCUCGUUCAAAGUAGCACACACUCGUCCAUCUUUACGUGAGAACUGGAGACACUUUCAGGGAUUGCUGUGGUAUCAGUAUGGCGGAGUACAUACUGAUUAAUGAGGUCCUGAAGCUAGUGAAUCAAUUUAAAUGGGAUGCAGCUUUUGAAGGUAGCCAUUUCAGAAUCAUGUGAAGAAAUUGAGGUGUGUUAUGUCUAUCGUUAUUGGUUUUGUAAAUAUAUAUUGUGGCAUGUAGACCUGUUUGGUAUGCAGUGAUUGCGAAAAGGAGCAUGCAUUGCUUGGUAGUGGCCGGCAUAUAUGGUCCUGCCGAAACGAUAUCCAGGCUGUUGCCAGGCAUCUGACCAUGACAGCAAUAGAAGGACUAUUUUAGGCGGUGUUUUCUGUUGGAUUCACCCUGAGGCUAUAUAGUGAGGAAGCCAGACUGGCUGAGGAGUUCAAUUGUAGGUUGGCACU